AUUGAACGCUGGCGGCAGGCCUAACACAUGCAAGUCGAACGAGUGGCGGACGGGUGAAUAAUGUCUGGGAAACUGCCUGAUGGAGGGGGAUAACUACUGGAAACGGUAGCUAAUCCCGCAUACCCACGGAUGCGCCCAGAUGGUAUUAGCUAGUAGGUGGGGUAAAGGCUCACAUAGGCGACGAUCCCUAGCUGGUCUGAGGGGAUGACCAGCCACACUGGAACGGAGACACGGUCCAGACUCCUACGGGAGGCAGCAGUGGGGAAUAUUGCACAAUGGGCGCAAGCCUGAUGCAGCCAUGCCGCGUGUAUGAAGAAGGCCUUCGGGUUGUAAAGUACUUUCAGCGGGGAGGCGUUACCCGCAGAAGAAGCACCGGCUAACUCCGUGCCAGCAGCCGCGGUAAUUC
rnacentral:rRNA from 1 species